AUUUUCAACAUAUAUUUUUUCACUUUGCGACAAAAGAAGACCCGCGAUACGUCUUUGUUUAUUAAAAAAAUCACGACAAGGAUACAACAAGUUUGUGUACAGAGUAAAUAUAUAAUAUAUGCGAUUGUGUGUGUUACAGUUUUAAACAAAGUUUAAAAUAACAGGCACAAUUUUUUGUUUUUUUUAAUUAACAGGUGGAUCUAGACAAUGAUAUCGUAAUUACAAAAGUAUUCGAAGCUCCAAUUUGAUGUGUUCGGAAUUACAAUUACGGUCGGUUAAAUGCGAAGAAGUAGCGAGAGCGUGGAUCAUUUUGCGAAAAAAAUACAUAGCUCGUACACAAAAACUCGAUUGUUUUCAAACAGCGAUUCUAGGGAUAUUCAUUGGGAGAAAUAUGGAAAGUUGGUAAUUCGACAUAAUUCAAACCUGAUUCUGCGCGUUCUUCAUGUCAUAUCGUUAAUACACGCCUCGGUCAAGAGUUGAGACGCACAGUUUUGCGUACCCGAUCCCGCACAAUUGUUAAACGUUUUUUUGACGCAAGUAACAAUUUCUGAUCCUCGACAUUGUCGUGUUGUUCGUCGUACAAGCUCUCGUCGACACAAAUGAGAGAUGAAUCGAUUCCCCAUGAGAGAUGGUACAUUUUGCGAGACGAGAAAGAAAAGUUAUACAGAGAGACACAGGUAUAUCGAUAGAUUUUUAAUUCGGAUUUUUUUAUUUUAGUUCUUAACGUCUUUGUUAUCGUCCAGAUUAUAUAUAUAUAUAUAUAAUAUAUUUACUUAACACGCGAAAAUGGAACUUCUAAAGAGCGAUGUGUAUAGUUCAUUUACUUUGUCGUUUAUUAAUGUAACAACGCGGCGAUGUGCACCCACAAACAUACGAAACACUGAUAAUAUAUUGACAAAAACACUGAUAUUUUUUAAACGAUUGGAAAAUAUAUAUAUCUGCAUAUCAAUUUGGUUUGUUCUUUUUGGCCGAAUUGGUCACACCGGUUCAGAAGUUUGGUCUUUUUUCUUUUUCCAUAAAAGAGUAAAGAAAAAGAUCAACUCCGAACUGGAUCACAGCUAGUUCGGUAAAAAAGAACAAACCGCGUGUGAGAGCGGAGAUUAAGGCCGGUAUUCAUGGUCGAAUCUUAUAUUUAGGAUCGUCUUAAGUCUAUCUUCAAAUGCUCUGCGGCCAAUAAAAUUACUCGCACAUGAUCUGAAGAUAAACUUAAGACGGAUCUUAAAUACAAGAUCCGACCGACUAUGAAAUACCGGCCUAAAAGUUUCGUAUUCGCGCGCGUACGAGUGCGCCAUCUGUUUCCUCUAUUCCUACUUGUGUGUGUUCCUCGCUAACUUCAGUUAACAUUUAUCUUGUAACAUCUAACUGUGUGCACGCAAAUUGCAUUAUUUAAGUGUAAACAUUUGAACGAAGUGUACAUACAUUUGUAUCUGAAACAUCGUAAGUGCGAAAAUUGUGCAACUGGAUACAAAUUAAUCGAUGAGACACAUUUGCCGGACGAUAAGCAAGGCGUUAGAAGAGACAUCAUUACCCGGCCGUUCCGCUUGUUUGUAAAGAUUAAGCUUGAGGAAAUUAGAAGGAGAACGUACACAUAUCGUUAGAGAUUUCGAAAGGAAGAGGAGGAGGAGGAGGAGGAGGAGGAG